GACCGUUGGGUAAUUAAGUCAGACGAUUUGCGCCCCCAAAUUGCACUAAGUUGUGAUUCUCUUUUGAGGUUGAAGAAAGCGAAAAUGACCAAAAGAAAAAGGGACUGUUUACAUUCCACCUCGUCGGCAAGGCAAAGUUGGGUUCCUUCUUUUUGCGAUGCCUUCCUUGACCUGAAUUCCUGAAGCGGUGAAGCCAACAACUGAAUUCAAAACCCUAGCUGGACAAACCAUAAUAGAAAUUCAGGAGAAGCCAUUUAGCAAAAAAUUGAAUAUAUAUAUAUAUAUAUAUAUCUUCACAUGGCGAACACUUGGAGAAGAAAGUUGGGGAAUAUGAGGUCUUUCAUUGGCAAUUCCAUGGGGGGUCUGAGGGGAGGAAGCAAUCUGGCCUCAUGGGUCUCUUUGCUGGAUCCCUUGCUAACUAUCUCUGGGUCAGGCCCUCCCAAGACCUCAAGCGCCAACAACAGGAAAGGGUAGCUCUGGCCGCAACUUCAGAUCCUGAUUUUUGAUCCUCAGCAAUCUGGUUGGAUACACGGAAACAAGAACGGGAGUGAUAAAUCCCAGGAAUUAUCUAACUGAAGUUGCAAAAUUUUGUGAGUUGGUUCUGUUGUGUCUCAAUAAGUGAUCAUAAGUUGUGUUUUAUGUUCAAGUCUUACCAAUAUAUAUAUGAGAGGUUACUUGAAUGUUGAGCCAUUUUCAUUUAGACAAUUCACGUGAACAUCAGAGUCCAACAUUUUUUGAGUUUCUUUCUAUUGAGGAUUGUACAAGACAUUUUUGAUGUAGUAAAUUCAAUAACAAAUAAUGGUUCAACACGGUUGAUGUACAAAAGGACCUGUCCACAUUGUGUGACGUCUCCAAGCUAUUCUUUACAUUGAUGGGUGCUGCAGCCCUCCAUCACUUGCUGCCUUGGUGAAACAAACCAGUCAUAGUUAAUCAACUUGGAUUAUUGUAUUCUUCAUAUUGUUUCAUUUAGAGCAACCCCGCGCGAGUAUAAAGUGAACAAUAUCAAUACUU